GGAUGCGGAGGUGUUGGUAGGGACGGAACUCGGGGCGCGGGCGGUGGCCCGAGUGGAGAUAGGAGUUGAAGGUGCAGAGGGCCACGCUGGGCAGCGCCAGCACGAAGGUCAGCAGACGCCAGGUCUUCUCCCCUGGGUGCGGAAGGACGCGCUGGGAGAGGGAGGUCUUCUCAUUGACACUGUCACCGCAGCUGCAGCAGCAGAAGGGACACACUCUCCUGUGUGAAUUCGCUGGUGGCCGAUCAGCUUCCACCGGUCCCCAAAAACCUGCUGGUACUGGGGACAGACGCAGGGCUUCGGCCAGUGUGUGCUCCUUGGUGAGCCAGCAGCAGAGCUGGCCGCUAAACCCUUGCCGCACUCCCGCAGACGAAUGGCUUCUCCCGAGUGGACUCGCUGGUGCUUGAUGAGGUUGGAGCGGCCACAGCAGGUCUUGCCGCACUGGGGACAGCGACAAGGUCUCUCGCCAGUCGCUGUGGACCCGCCAGUGCUGGAGGAGGGAUGCGCUCUGAGUAAAACCCCUCCCGCAGGCCUUGCACUUGCAGGGCUGACGGCCCUGGGUGAAUCUGCCGGUGCUGCAGCAGGUAGGAGCUCUGGCUGAAACGCUUUCCACAGUCAGGGCAAAGGGGAGGCUUCUCAUGAGCAGGGCUUCGGAGAUGACCGCUCAGGGAGUAACUGUACGGGAGGCUUUGCCGCACUUGGCGCAGCUGUGGGGCCUCUGCCGCACUCAGGCUUCCCGUGGCCACGAGCUCACAGUCUGGGAGCAGCACCCGGCCCCAGGCCUCGGGGGCUGUCUGGAGAGUUCUCUAAUGUAAGACGCUGGGCAAUGUCAUCUGAAGGUGUUUCUUGAGGCUCUCGGGCAUGUCCCUGGGUGUUCCCCAUCACUAAGUCCAUCCUCUUGGAUACGCUGGUCCUCACUGCCGUGUCCAGUUCCUGCGGAAGGAAAGAUUUCAGAUCCCAGAGCCAUCAUUCUCUCUAGAGGGAGAGAAAACCACAGAAAAAUUUUACUACAAACUGCAAAGGAG
rnacentral:lncRNA from 1 species